GAUGAAGAACGUAGCUAAAUGCGAUAAGUAGUGUGAAUUGCAGAAUUCAGUGAAUCAUCGAGUCUUUGAACGCACAUUGCGCCCCCUGGUAUUCCGGGGGGCAUGCCUGUCCGAGCGUCAUUGCUGCCCUCAAGCACGGCUUGUGUGUUGGGCCUCCGUCCUCCUCCCGGGGGACGGGCCCGAAAGGCAGCGGCGGCACCGCGUCCGGUCCUCGAGCGUAUGGGGCUUCGUCACCCGCUCUUGUAGGCCCGGCCGGCGCUUGCCGACACAUCAAUCUUUUUUCCAGGUUGACCUCGGAUCAGGUAGGGAUACCCGCUGAACUUAAGCAUAUCAAUAAGCGGAGGA
rnacentral:misc_RNA from 1 species